UCCAGACUCCUACGGGAGGCAGCAGUGGGGAAUAUUGCACAAUGGGGGAAACCCUGAUGCAGCGACGCCGCGUGAGCGAUGAAGUAUUUCGGUAUGUAAAGCUCUAUCAGCAGGGAAGAAAAUGACGGUACCUGAAGAAGAAGCCCCGGCUAACUACGUGCCAGCAGCCGCGGUAAUACGUAGGGGGCAAGCGUUAUCCGGAUUCACUGGGUGUAAAGGGAGCGUAGACGGCGACGCAAGUCUGGAGUGAAAUCCCGGGGCCCAGCCCCGGGACUGCUCUGGAAUCUGCGUCGCUGGAGUACGGGAGGGGCAGGCGGAAUUCCUGGUGUAGCGGUGAAAUGCGUAGAUAUCAGGAGGAACACCGGUGGCGAAGGCGGCCUGCUGGACUGCAACUGACGUUGAGGUCCGAAAGCGUCGGGAGCAAACAGGAUUAGAUACCCCUGUAA
rnacentral:rRNA from 1 species